AGAGUUUGAUCCUGGCUCAGAUUGAACGCUGGCGGCAUGCCUUACACAUGCAAGUCGAACGGUAACAGGUCUUCGGAUGCUGACGAGUGGCGAACGGGUGAGUAAUACAUCGGAACGUGCCCGAGAGUGGGGGAUAACGAGGCGAAAGCUUUGCUAAUACCGCAUACGAUCUCAGGAUGAAAGCAGGGGACCGCAAGGCCUUGCGCUCACGGAGCGGCCGAUGGCAGAUUAGGUAGUUGGUGGGAUAAAAGCUUACCAAGCCGACGAUCUGUAGCUGGUCUGAGAGGACGACCAGCCACACUGGGACUGAGACACGGCCCAGACUCCUACGGGAGGCAGCAGCAAGGAAUUUUGUGCAAUGGGCGAAAGCCUGACACAGCGACGCCGCGUGGGGGAUGAAGGCCUUCGGGUUGUAAACCCCUUUUCUCAGGGAGGAAUAAUGACAGUACCUGAGGAAUAAGUCACGGCUAACUACGUGCCAGCAGCCGCGGUAAUACGUAGAUGGCGAGCGUUAUCCGGAUUUAUUGGGCGUAAAGCGGGUGCAGACGGCUUUUCAAGUCAGAUGUAAAAUCUCCCGGCUUAACUGGGAGGUACCAUUUGAUACUGUUAAGCUAGAGGACAACAGGGGGAGGUAGAAUUCCCGGUGUAGUGGCGAAAUGCGUAGAUAUCGGGAGGAAUACCAGUAGCGAAGGCGGCCUCCUGGGUUGUUUCUGACGUUCAUGCCCGAAGGUGUGGGGAGCAAACAGGAUUAGAUACCCUGGUAGUCC
rnacentral:rRNA from 1 species